ensembl:misc_RNA Metazoa_SRP Metazoan signal recognition particle RNA
GCCGGGCACGGUGGCUCAUGCCUGUAAUCCCAGCCCUUUGGGAGGCUGAGAUGGGCGUAUCACUUGAGGUCAGGAGUUCAAGACCAAUCUGGCCAACAUGGUGAAACCCCAACUCUACUAAAAAUACAAAAAUUAGCUGGGUGUGGUGGCGCAUGCUUGUAAUCCCAGCUACUUGGGAGGCUGAGGCAGGAGAAUCACUUGAACCCGGGAGAUGAAGGUUGCAGUGAGCUGAGGUCUUGCUACUGUACUCCUGCCUGUGCAACAGAGUGAGAUUCUAUCUCA